rnacentral:rRNA from 1 species
UACGGAGGGUGCGAGCGUUGUUCGGAUUUAUUGGGCGUAAAGCGCGUGUAGGCGGUUUCAUAAGUCUGAUGUGAAAGCCCCGGGCUCAACCUGGGAAGUGCAUUGGAUACUGUGAGACUUGAAUACAGGAGAGGGUAGUGGAAUUCCUAGUGUAGGAGUGAAAUCCGUAGAUAUUAGGAGGAACACCGGUGGCGAAGGCGGCUGCCUGGACCGAUAUUGACGCUGAGACGCGAAAGCGUGGGUAGCAAACAGG